rnacentral:rRNA from 1 species
GUGCCAGCCGCCGCGGUAAUACGGAGGGUCCAAGCGUUAUCCGGAUUUAUUGGGUUUAAAGGGUACGUAGGCGGAAUUUUAAGUCAGUAGUGAAAGCCCAUUGCUUAACAAUGGAACUGCUAUUGAAACUGAAAUUCUUGAAUAUAGUUGAAGUAGGCGGAAUACGGCAUGUAGCGGUGAAAUGCAUAGAUAUGCCGUGGAACACCGAUCGCGAAGGCAGCUUACUAAGCUAUUAUUGACGCUAAGGUACGAAAGCGUGGGGAGCGAACAGGAUUAGAAACCCUGGUAGUCC